UACGAAGGGGGCUAGCGUUGCUCGGAAUCACUGGGCGUAAAGGGUGCGUAGGCGGGUCUUUAAGUCAGGGGUGAAAUCCUGGAGCUCAACUCCAGAACUGCCUUCGAUACUGAGGAGCUUGAGUCCGGGAGAGGUGAGUGGAACUGCGAGUGUAGAGGUGAAAUUCGUAGAUAUUCGCAAGAACACCAGUGGCGAAGGCGGCUCACUGGCCCGGUACUGACGCUGAGGUGCGAAAGCGUGGGGAGCAAACAGG
rnacentral:rRNA from 1 species